CUGAUUUUUUAGAAUGUUGGAUUGUUUUCUCAUGAGAAAUUUCAACAUGGAUGGGCAGAGAGGCGGAAAGAGAAGUUUUAAAGAAACCAAUCUUUAUAAAUGUGUGAUUAGGUCUGUCCUAGAAAGAUAUCCAAAGGAAUCAGAGAAGACAGUCCAUCAGUUUAUUCAGGGCGUGUUGAAAAACGCACCAGCAUCACGAAAAUCUGAUUGAACAUAUUAUAAUUUAGUUUUUGUUGUUGAUGGCGUGAAAUAUAUUUUUGGUAGUAAA